AUGAUUAAUUAUUGAGUGAAAGUUUCCAGUUUCUCACGGUAUGUUUAGUUUCCCAAAUUUCAACAAAUAAUACG